rnacentral:rRNA from 1 species
AUUGAACGCUGGCGGCAGGCCUAACACAUGCCAGUCGAGCGGAUGAAGGGAGCUUGCUCCUGGAUUCAGCGGCGGACGGGUGAGUAAUGCCUAGGAAUCUGCCUGGUAGUGGGGGAUAACGUCCGGAAACGGGCGCUAAUACCGCAUACGUCCUGAGGGAGAAAGUGGGGGAUCUUCGGACCUCACGCUAUCAGAUGAGCCUAGGUCGGAUUAGCUAGUUGGUGGGGUAAAGGCCUACCAAGGCGACGAUCCGUAACUGGUCUGAGAGGAUGAUCAGUCACACUGGAACUGAGACACGGUCCAGACUCCUACGGGAGGCAGCAGUGGGGAAUAUUGGACAAUGGGCGAAAGCCUGAUCCAGCCAUGCCGCGUGUGUGAAGAAGGUCUUCGGAUUGUAAAGCACUUUAAGUUGGGAGGAAGGGCAGUAAGUUAAUACCUUGCUGUUUUGACGUUACCAACAGAAUAAGCACCGGCUGACUUCGUG